rnacentral:rRNA from 1 species
AUUGAUUUUAUGCUUGCAUAAAUGAUUUUUGGAUUCGGAGCGAGUGGCGAACUGGUGAGUAACACGUGGGUAACCUGCCCCGAAGCGGGGGAUAACAUUUGGAAACAAGUGCUAAUACCGCAUAAUUAGUUGGAACCGCAUGGUUCCAACUUGAAAGAUGGCUCUGCUAUCACUUUGGGAUGGACCCGCGCCGUAUUAGUUAGUUGGUGAGAUAAAAGCCCACCAAGACGAUGAUACGUAGCCGACCUGAGAGGGUAAUCGGCCACAUUGGGACUGAGACACGGCCCAGACUCCUACGGGAGGCAGCAGUAGGGAAUCUUCCACAAUGGACGAAAGUCUGAUGGAGCAACGCCGCGUGAGUGAUGAAGGUUUUCGGAUCGUAAAACUCUGUUGUUAAAGAAGAACAAGUGUUAGAGUAACUGUUAACACUUUGACGGUAUUUAACCAGAAAGCCACGGCUAACUACGUGCCAGCAGCCGCGGUAAUACGUAGGUGGCAAGCGUUGUCCGGAUUUAUUGGGCGUAAAGCGAGCGCAGGCGGUUUUGUAAGUCUGCUGUGAAAGCCCUCAGCUCAACUGAGGAAGUGCAGUGGAAACUACAAAACUUGAGUACAGAAGAGGAAAGUGGAACUCCAUGUGUAGCGGUGAAAUGCGUAGAUAUAUGGAAGAACACCAGUGGCGAAGGCGGCUUUCUGGUCUGUUACUGACGCUGAGGCUCGAAAGCAUGGGUAGCGAACAGGAUUAGAUACCCUGGUAGUCCAUGCCGUAAACGAUGAAUACUAGGUGUUGGAGGAUUUCCGCCCUUCAGUGCCGCAGCUAACGCAUUAAGUAUUCCGCCUGGGGAGUACGACCGCAAGGUUGAAACUCAAAGGAAUUGACGGGGGCCCGCACAAGUGGUGGAGCAUGUGGUUUAAUUCGAUGCUACGCGAAGAACCUUACCAGCUCUUGACAUCUUCUGCCAACCCAAGAGAUUGGGCGUUCCCUUCGGGGACAGAAUGACAGGUGGUGCAUGGUUGUCGUCAGCUCGUGUCGUGAGAUGUUGGGUUAAGUCCCGCAACGAGCGCAACCCUUAUUAUUAGUUGCCAGCAUUUAGUUGGGCACUCUAGUGAGACUGCCGGUGAUAAA